UACGUAGGGUGCGAGCGUUAAUCGGAAUUACUGGGCGUAAAGCGUGCGUAGGCGGUUCUCCAAGUCCGUUGUGAAAUCCCCGGGCUUAACCUGGGAAUGGCAGUGGAAACUAGGGGACUUGAAUCUGGCAGAGGGGGGUGGAAUUCCACGUGUAGCAGUGAAAUGCGUAGAGAAUGUGGAGGAACACCGAUGGCGAAGGCAGCCCCCUGGGCUGAGAUUGACGCUGAGUGCACGAAAGCGUGGGGAGCAAACAGG
rnacentral:rRNA from 1 species